rnacentral:rRNA from 1 species
GUCUGCGGCCAUGCUACCUCGGACAUACCCACUCUCAUCUGAUCCCAGAAGCUAAGCAGUGUUAGGCCUGGCUAGGACUUGGAUGGAGAAUGUUCUCUAGGAUCUGGAGUGA